UAGAUAGGUCACGGCGAUACCUUUGCAAUGGCUUUUGGGCAUGAAAUGGCUUCCGGUAUGGGUGGAAUUCGAACUGCUGGAGAUCUAGUAGCGCGAGUCC
rfam:Peptococcaceae bacterium BRH_c23 BRHa_1000724, whole genome shotgun sequence.